UCUCCCCAAUUGCAAUUCCUAAGACCCCAAAUAAGCACUUUCUUUUACAGCUUUGCUUUAUUGUUUUACAGCCUUGUCUUUUCUUAUUUGGCAAAAGAUAACUGUAAUUUUCCUUAAUAUCUCCAAUGUCCAGACUAUAUUCAAGUUUCACAGACAUCUUCUAAACUUUUUUUUGUUUAUGUAUUUAUUUUGAGAGUGGGGGAAGGGUCAGGGAGAGAGGGAGAGAGAAUCCCAAGCAGGCUCCAUGCUGUGCUGGUAGGAGACAACCAUGAGAUCAUGACCUGAAUGGAAACCAAGAGUCAGUUGCCUAACUGACUGAGCCACCCAGGUGCCCCUCAAAUGUUUUUAAAAUGCAGAAAAGCCAUAGAAAUCACCUCAACCUCAGGGGAUGAGGUUUGAAUGUAGGAGUAGUAGCCUUGAAUCCCACUGACUCAAAUACAUACUUCUGGGACCAUUCUCUUUGGCUUCUUUUGCAUUUGUGCAUCCCUCAUUCCACCUCCCUUUUCUGGUAUUCACUGGUAGGGCAUCUCUGAGCUUUGUUGUGUUUGCUCCUGUGCAGGGUGAGCACCAGGAGGUUACCCCUAGGACCUUUUGGGGUCUGCAGCAGGGGGAGUGACCCCAGCCCUUUCAGCUCUGUCUGGACACAAGUGGAUCCAGACUCUUCCUCUGGAGCAGGUGUCCUUGAGGGCUGGAUGUAUGGACCCUGUGCUUGAAUUCCACCUCUGUCACCUUUAAGCCAGGUGACAAAUCCACAAUGACAGAAAGAACCUGGCUGGACCACAGUUCUCUACACUCUCUUGAGACUCAGAAAAAGAACACAUCUCAGGUGAGCCUUACUUUGUGUUUUAAUGAACUUAUGAAGUUUGAAGGAUCUAUGUAGUAAAUGGAAAAGUAAGAAUAGAAAUAGAUCAAGUAAACACUGAGGGGAAAAUAUACACAAUUUCCCCCAUUAACUCUGAUGUUUGCUGUUGGUUCUUGGUAGCUAGCCUUUGCCAGGCUACCUAGGUUCCCUCCAGUUUGCUUAUAUUUCAACUUAGUCAUAAAUGUGCAAUGAGUUACACUGAGUGCUUUUU
rnacentral:lncRNA from 1 species